rnacentral:rRNA from 1 species
UACGGAGGGAGCUAGCGUUGUUCGGAUUUACUGGGCGUAAAGGGCGCGUAGGCGGCCACCGCAAGUCAAUUGUGAAAUCUCCGGGCUCAACCCGGAAAGGUCAACUGAUACUGCGGGGCUAGAGUGCAGAAGGGGCAACUGGAAUUCUCGGUGUAGCGGUGAAAUGCGUAGAUAUCGAGAGGAACACCUGCGGCGAAGGCGGGUUGCUGGGCUGACACUGACGCUGACAGCGCGAAAGCUAGGGGAGCGAACGGG